UGGGAAUUUUGGACAAUGGGCGCAAGCCUGAUCCAGCCAUGCCGCGUGCGGGAAGAAGGCCUUCGGGUUGUAAACCGCUUUUGUCAGGGAAGAAAUCUUCUGAGUUAAUACCUCGGGAGGAUGACGGUACCUGAAGAAUAAGCACCGGCUAACUACGUGCCAGCAGCCGCGGUAAUACGUAGGGUGCAAGCGUUAAUCGGAAUUACUGGGCGUAAAGCGUGCGCAGGCGGUUUUGUAAGACAGAGGUGAAAUCCCCGGGCUCAACCUGGGAACUGCCUUUGUGACUGCAAGGCUUGAGUGCGGCAGAGGGGGAUGGAAUUCCGCGUGUAGCAGUGAAAUGCGUAGGUAUGCGGAGGAACACCGAUGGCGAAGGCAAUCCCCUGGGCCUGCACUGACGCUCAUGCACGAAAGCGUGGGGAGCAAAACAGGAUUAGAUACCCUGGUAGUCCACGCCCUAAACGAUGUCAACUGGUUGUUGGGAAGGUUCCUUCUCAGUAACGUAGCUAACGCGUGAAGUUGACCGCCUGGGGAGUACGGCCGCAAGGUUGAAACUUAAAUGAAUUGACGGGGUCAUAGCUGUUU
rnacentral:rRNA from 1 species